rnacentral:piRNA from 1 species
UAAAUGUGACAUUUACGGUGUGGAAUG